CAAGCGUCCAAGAUUUAUCUGCUGUCAUGAACUCUGGAAGGAGCAAUGAUCACUGCAGGACAACCGUACCAAAACAGAAACCGAUUGGAAACACACCUCGUCAGAGGGAAAUAUGUGAGAGUGUGAAACCUUCCCAAUCUGGGAGAAGGAGUCCCACCAGACAACUAAGAAACAUUAAAGCUCAGCAUCUGGCAAUGAAUAGGUGUCUUCAGAGCUCUCCAGUGUUUACAAGGAUGGAGCGGAGUAGCAGAACUGCAAAGACCUGCUCACUGCACACC